UCACUGAGACCAACAGGGCCUCCCCAAGCUGUGAUCCCUUUCCACGCCACAGCAGAAGGCACAAUCGGACUCCUUUUCAUCCUGCAAAGGCUCCUCUCUGCCCUCAGAGCAACAAAGUCCAAACGCCUGUGCUGGCACACCUGCUCACAGGCAGAUUCUUGGCUUUGUUUUCUGUUGGGUCCUCCUGCAGGGCCAGGCUAAAGGUGGGCAUUGAACUGAUAUUUUUUAAAUGAAUAAAUGAGGUCAGGAGGUGGGUGUCUACCCUACAGUGCAGCCUUAUGACAUCACAAUGCAGACUUCUUGCCCAGAAGAUGUUCUUGGUCUAGUUGAAGCAUGGUUAGAUAGAAUUCACCACAAUUUUUAAGCUGGACUUGACAUGAAAUUGCCAACAGUUUUAUAUGCUGAUGAGUGCUCUGAUUUUAAUGGAGCUAUGAUUUUUCAAAUGUUAUAUAAACAUGACAAGGCAUAGCCAGAACUCCAGACCCUGGAGGCUGCAUGGACCCAAGAAGGAAGGGACCUUUCACAGCAUGGUGCUUCCCUGGUACCCAGCAGCAUGGGUUUUACCCAUUGCCAACGCACAAACAUUUUUUGAUGGCCUCCCCAGAAGUUUACUUGGGCCCAAGACCUAGGGAUCAACUGUUUGCCAUUUGAUCCCUGUUUUUUGAGUUCAAGUCAAUAAUAAAAGUAAUUUCUUCAUCCAUUCA